AGGGGGAGGAGUAGGAGUAGGAGUAGAAGGAAGUGUUCUUGUCUACACAGCAGACCAGAAAGGAAAUACUCUAGAGCGAAGGAGGAAAAAUACACCGAGAAAAGGUGUGGAAAAUUCACCGAAAAAAGGUGAGGGAAAUUCACCUCACGCAAAAGCCCACGGACCAGCUACAGAAUCCGGAUCUAGGGUAUGCUUGUAUAUUCCCAGAGAAUUUUUCCAAACCCGUGUGGAUUCCUGCUAGAAAUAUUAAACUGCAACAGGGAUCCAAGAGAGAAACUAGCCAGACUAAUGAGGACCUUGCGCCUGGAGCCACACCAUGCAGCUGCAGACAAUCAACUACCUCAGCCACAGAGAGCAGCGACUCAGAGCAGUCCACUGAAGAUGAGGAGCAGGAGGAGUACGAGCCGGACAGCAAACAGCCUGGAGACCACCUGGGGCAUGGUAAAGAAGACAGUACAGAUGCCUGACGCCUGAGAACAUCUUUCUUGCCAUGCUAGCAAUAAUCAUCUGUACG